UGGGACACUCUGUAUAGUGGCUUGUCUAUUCAUAAAUCUGCUGAAAAAUGUUGCUUCAGAAAAAUAUAGAUAUAACCUUUCGAAACCUUUCUGCAACAGACACCGUUACAUUAGUGGACACAUUUAAUGGUCACGUGUUAGUGUUUGUUAUAGGCAAAUUGCACUGUGUACGAUGUGUGAUAAUAAUUUUAUAAAUUGGCGAAAAAUUUAAAAAUUAAUGAAAACUACUGAAUUUUAAAUCUAACAGGUGUCCUAGAAUAUAUUGUAUCAUUAUAUAAU